GUGUGCCCAGGUGUGCCCAGGUGUGCCUGGAAUGGGGCUGGGAGGGAUAGAAAUGGGUUAAACCCAUCGAGAUCCCGCGGCCCGUCGACGGCGUCGAGGUGCCGGGCUGUGGCAAGGUGAGAGAUGGGAGAUAUGGGGUUACCUGUGUGCCCAGGUGUGCCCAGGUGUGCCACCAAGGGGCUGGGAAAGGGUUAAAUCCAUGUAGAUUUGGGGUCUGUGAAGGUUCCAGGCUGUGAUAAGGUGAGACACAGGAGAUACAGGCUCACCUGUGUGCCCAGGUGUGCCCCGGUGUGCCACCAAGGGGCUGGGAGGGAUGGGAAAGGGUUAAACCCAUGGAGAUUUGGGGUCUGUGGAGGUUCUGACCUGCAGAAAGGUGAGAGAGCCGAGAGACGGACUCACCUGUGUGCCCAGGUGUGCCCGGAAUGGGGCUGGGAGGGAUGGAAAGGGUUAAACCCAUGGAGAUUUGGGGUCUGUGAAGGUUCCAGGCUGUGAUAAGGUGAGACACGGGAGAUACAGGCUCACCUGUGUGCCCAGGUGUGCCCAGGUGUGCCCAGGUGUGCUCGGGUGUGCCCAGGUGUGUCCCGGGUGUGCCCAGGUGUGCCCAGGUGUGUCCCAGGUGUGCUCGGGUGUGCCCAGGUGUGUCCCGGGUGUGCCCAGGUGUGCCCAGGUGUGCUCGGGUGUGCCCAGGUGUGUCCCAGGUGUGUCCCAGGUGUGCUCGGGUGUGCCCAGGUGUGUCCUGGGCAUGUCCCAGGUGUGUCCAGGUGUGCCCCAGGUGUGGCACGGGGGGAUGGCGACGAGCUCUGUGCAUUUUUGGGGUUCGACUGCCAGAAGGCCCCGCAGGGUCUGGGCUGUCCCUCUGUCCCACCCCAAAUGACCCAAAUCUGCCUGAAAUCACCCCAAAUCACCCCAAAUCCCCAAAAUGACCAAAAAUGCCCCAAAAUGUGCCAAAAUCUCGCAGAUUUUCGUGGAGUUCACCUCGGUGUUCGACUGCCAGAAGGCCCCGCAGGGUCUGAGCUGUCUCUCUGUCCCACCCAAUGACCCCAAAUGACCCAAAUCUGCCUGAAAUCA
rnacentral:lncRNA from 1 species